UUAAAAGGAAUUAGUAUUAAAACACGUCCUUGAGCUCUUGAAAGUGCUGUCUGUGGCCCUGGGUAGGUGCCCAAGGAAGAAGUCAGUGCAUUUGUCAGAUGGGAACACACGCAGCACAGGAGAUGAUGACCCCUGCCCUCCUAUGACGUGUGCCCUCCUACGACGUGUUGACAUGCAGGUGGUGGUUUUGUGUCACAAAGGGAAGGCGUAGCUCAUCAGCUAAAACCCCACUGUGGCACAGAAAGCCCUCCAUCCACUGCUCUGUAGUAUUUAUGGGUCAGAAACCUUAAACACAGAGGUGUUAAACUUCUCCAAGACCCCACAACUAGUCAGUAGAAGAAUUGAAGACUAGAACUUACAAGUCGGGACCCACUAUGGACUGAGUGUCGGCGUCCCCCCGAAAUGCCAUUUGUUGAAACCUAAUCCCAAGGGGAUGAAGUUAGGAGGCAGGACGUCCUCUGGAAGGUGAUGAGGUUAUGAGGCUGGAGCCCCCUUGAUGGCAUUCGUGUCCUUACAAGAGAGACCCCAGGGAGUCCUCAGCCCCUUCCACCUUGUAAGGACACAGCAAGAAGAUGUCAUCUGUGAACCAGGCAGCAGCUGUCACUAGACCCUGAAUCUGCCGGCGCCUGGAUCUUUGGACUUCCGGUGAGCAUCUGAGAUCUGCCUUCAGCCUGGUGUUUGAGACUCCCUUCCUCCUGUUCCAGAUGCUCUACUAGCCAAAUUCCCCACCUUUUCAGAACACAACCAUGUGCACAGCACCAAGCGCUGCAUACUGGGCCCUGGGAGGAGGACGAGGACAUAAAACCACACAAGACAUAGACUUGAGUUUCAAGGAACUCCCAGCCCUCCAUGGCCUUCGCUCCCGUCAGCUUCAGUGUGUGACGUUUGCAGUUCGUGCAGCACAAGCCUCGAGGAGGGAAAGAGCUGGUCUCGCAUUUUCCUGCAGUCACCGAUCCCCUGGCGUGUCCAUGUGCAAUGUAGGCUGUGCAUAAAAUAAAUACCAGUGGCACAUAAGAGACGAGAGGAGGUCUGGACUGGAGCUGUUGAAGACUUCAAGAAGGUGGAAUGUCCGCUGGGGUGCAGACUGAUUCCUGAAUGCCAGGGGGAUUUGGAAGCUCACACAGACCCAAGAAAGAAGACCUGUCUUGCCUUCAUAUUUCCCCCUCCUUGGAGAUUCACACAGCCAAGUAGAUAUAUACCAUCUUGUUUCGCCUGUAAACACCUGGUCUUCUCGGAAAGCCUAUGAGGAGGUCAUGUUACCUUCAGCACACGGCUGAGAAACAGAGUAGACAAAGGAAGAGAUGGGCCCACUCACAUAGCUGGUAUGCACCUCAAGUCCCUAGGGGUGUGUGCCCCCCGCUGGUGGGAGCCAUUGUACUGCUUCCUUUCCCCACCCCCCACCCCCACCCUGGACACAUGGUUUCCAUCCACGGUUUCUUUUUUGGGCUCAUUGAAGGUGUUGGGAUAGAUGAUCUCAGCUAUGCAUUUCUUUCUUCCUCUUCGUUGCCUUUCCAAAAAGAAUAAUGAGGGGAGGGGUGCGGUAUAAGGGUUGGGGACAAAAAAGAGAGGUAUGGGCAAUCGUGGUUGGGAGAAAGGAAGAUUUGUUUCUUCUCAAAUCACUUGAGAUGAUAAAAGAAGGUAAGAAUCUUGGGGCUCAGAGGGGCAGUGCUUGCUUUUUCCUUAUGGACAGUCCACUUACGACAAAAGUUCUGGGAGUCAGCCCUCAAGAGAAAUGAAAUCACAAGACAUAAGGGUCAACAUGGCCACAUCUCAUAGUAUAGCACAGGUAUUUAAAAUAAUUAUGACAUUUCCUUCUGAUUAAAAAAAAAAAAAAAAGAUCUACCAGAAUCCUUGUAGGUGGUGAUACGAAACUAUUACUGUUUGAAUGAUCCACUACAGUUGUUUCCGUAUUUAAAUAAUCAUAAUAUUUCCAUAAAACUGGCUCGAAAGUAUUUUCCUGGAGUAUUAGUUUGGUUCGUUUGCCAUAUCUAUAAAGAAUACAUUUAUCUAUGUUUUUUUCAUUUAGAUGAAUUUUUGGAAAAGUUUACUGCGAUAAUUUUAUUGCCUGGCACUGUCUUGGGAAAGCAAUCCUUGUCCAGUACUUGAGAACAAACUGUUAGGCACAGUGCAUGAUUAUACUCACUCAGAUUCUUUACCUAAACCCUAUUUUACAAUUUGCAUACUAAAAUUUGUGUACUGCUAGUAUGAUGAAAGAAAACAAGCAAAGUACUUCAUUUACAGAACGUAUUUCUUUUUUUUUUUAAUUUUUUCAUGCUUAUUUAUGUUUUUUUAAAUGUGUAUUUAUUUUUGAGACAGAGCACAAGUGAGG